rnacentral:misc_RNA from 1 species
GAACGCAUAUUGCGCCCUUUGGUAUUCCGAAGGGCAUGCCUGUUCGAGCGUCAUUAUCACCCCUCAAGCCCCGGCUUGGUGUUGGACUUAGUUACAGAUCACCUAUAACUGGCCUCAAAGAUAGUGACGGCGUCCCAGAGGGAACCGGUACGAGGAGCUUCCAGUUAAGCAUGUACGCGGGACGACUCUGCGGGCGACGGUCUUUUUCAUUUCUCCAAGUGUUGACCUCGGAUCAGGUAGGAAUACCCGCUGAACUUAAG